UACGUAGGGUGCGAGCGUUAAUCGGAAUUACUGGGCGUAAAGCGUGCGCAGGCGGUUUUGUAAGCCAGAUGUGAAAUCCCCGGGCUUAACCUGGGAAUGGCAUUUGGGACUGCAAGGCUGGAGUGCGGCAGAGGAGACUGGAAUUCCUGGUGUAGCAGUGAAAUGCGUAGAUAUCAGGAGGAAUACCGAUGGCGAAGCCAGGUCUCUGGGCUGACACUGACGCUCAUGCACGAAAGCGUGGGGAGCAAACAGG
rnacentral:rRNA from 1 species